GUAAUCUCAAUGGAAAAGUGUAAUUCCGAGUCGCUCGUGUGCAAUUAAUUGUAAAUCUAAGCAUGUGUUUUUCGCUACGGGAAUUGCCUAUAAGGACCAUGAAUUUUCUACUGGACGAGCAGCAGAAUCGAAGCAGUCUUUGAGGACAAUAGUUUCGUUGUAAACGUGUGCUCCGAUGUUAAUAUUUAAAGGUGUUCGGUGUGCGGUUUGGAUUUGUCUGAACAAAAAGAACCGUUAAAAAAACGGAAGAUCUUUCAUGGCCACCGCUAUGAUGAUUGUUUUGCUGUGAUCGCUGUGAUCGCUGUGAUUGGCUUCCUUUCCCCUGUGCGCGCGGUUGACGUCCGCCAAAUGUGAUGCUGUCCGCGCCUGGCAAUAACGGCCCGGGAAAAAUUUAUCGUUACAAUGAGAUAUCUUACUUCCGGCAACGAUUAUGAUAGUUAGGAGUUAUCUUUCGGGAUUUCAAGACAAUCCAUUUCUUUGUUCAUUCCUGAAGUGCGCUGUGCGUCAGUUUAAUCAUCGUCCUUCGCGAUUACAUAAAGGUACUGUAUUUAUUAUUUUAUUAUUUAUGAUGGUAGCAGCAUCAACUAGCCGUUCGACUGGACCAUACGUUUUCACUGCGCUCAGCCGAUCUGCGCGGUUCAGGGUAAAUGUCGUGUUCUAUUUGCUUGUCAUACUAGAGCCUUGAUGUUAUAGUGUUGCUUUAGCAAUAUCAAAGAUACUUUGGCUAGCAGCGCUAGGUUUGUGCAUACAACAAUUCUUUAUAACGUCAUUGAAACCCUAGGAAACGUUUUCACUUGACGCGAUGUAAAACAUCUUUCUCCUACGCCCAAGAUAUGCCGAAACGUAAAGACACUGUAUUUUUCGUUUGUAUCGGGUAUUUCAGUCCAUUUGUCUAUUUAUUUUCGCGAAAAUAUGAUGA